GUGUCAAUGCAGCGCAGUGGAUAGCGCGUUGGACCUCUAAUCCAAAGGUCGUGGUUUCGCAUCCCAUUUGGGAUG